CAGCCCAUAUUCAAGUGAACGGGAUUAGACUCCAUCUUUCAAAGAGAAAAAUCACAACUGAUUUGUAGCCAGUUUUAACCAACCUCAGAAAGUAAUGAAUAAAGCAGAAUGGUUUAAGUAAAUGGCCAAUGCCAGAGAGCAGGAGUAAGCACCAGAGCGCAAGGCAGAGAAUGAGUACAGAGGGCUUUGAAGGUAUUCACGAUAUGCCCAGGAAAUGUGCUGUUUGAUUACUUUUACAUGGGAGAGAAGACAAAACAUCUCAACCUAGAGUCUCUUAAUGUGGAUGUAGAAGUUCCUUGCCUAGUCCCACUUGCCCAGAAAGAAGAACCACCUUCACCAU